rnacentral:rRNA from 1 species
GUGGGGAAUAUUGGACAAUGGGCGCAAGCCUGAUCCAGCCAUGCCGCGUGAGUGAUGAAGGCCCUAGGGUUGUAAAGCUCUUUCACCGGUGAAGAUAAUGACGGUAACCGGAGAAGAAGCCCCGGCUAACUUCGUGCCAGCAGCCGCGGUAAUACGAAGGGGGCUAGCGUUGUUCGGAUUUACUGGGCGUAAAGCGCACGUAGGCGGACUUUUAAGUCAGGGGUGAAAUCCCGGGGCUCAACCCCGGAACUGCCUUUGAUACUGGAAGUCUUGAGUAUGGAAGAGGUAAGUGGAAUUGCGAGUGUAGAGGUGAAAUUCGUAGAUAUUCGCAGGAACACCAGUGGCGAAGGCGGCUUACUGGUCCAUUACUGACGCUGAGGUGCGAAAGCGUGGGGAGCAAACAGGAUUAGAAACCCCAGUAGUCC